CUGGAAAGGACACUUUGGGCUUGCUUUACAAAUGACUAAGGUUUAGCACUGCCUGGGCAUCCUUCCCCAGCCUCCUCAGUCUGUCACAGGAGAGAUGUUCUCCACGUUCCCUCUUGGGUCCUGCGUGACCUCAUCCAGGGCCUUAUAAGGAGACACUCGGCCGUAGGAAUUCGGUUUCAAUCAUCGCUGGCCUGCGGACUCGGAUCCUCCUCUCUGCUCGCUCAAGGUUGGAUGUUUCAAGUUCUGCACCCACCUGGAUAACCUUCUACUGUACCUGGCAGGUCCAGGAAACGUGGAGAGGAUUUGUGCCUUCACCUUUCAAAAUAACAAAAUGAGCAUGACAUUCAAAUCCCUCCUGUCUUUUAAAAAGUUUAACAUUCAAUUAAAUCUAGAAUCAUCUUUCUGGGGAAGUCUGACCACUCCAUGAGGUCACUCAUGAAAGCUUGUCAAAGC